rnacentral:rRNA from 1 species
UUGGAGGGCAAGUCUGGUGCCAGCAGCCGCGGUAAUUCCAGCUCCAAUAGCGUAUAUUAAAGUUGUUGCAGUUAAAAAGCUCGUAGUUGAAUUUCGGAAUCUGUCCAUCGGUCGGGCUUCACUGUUCGUACUGGUGUGGUGGGUUCUUGCCUUCUGAAUAACCAGCAUGCCAUUAAUUUGGUGCGUUGGGGAAGCAGGACUAUUACCUUGAAAAAAUUAGAGUGCUCAAAGCAGGCUAGUGCCUGAAUACAUUAGCAUGGAAUAAUAAAAUAGGACGGCAUGGUUCUAUUUUGUUGGUUUCUAGGAUCACCGUAAUGAUUAAUAGGGAUAGUUGGGGGCAUUAGUAUUCAAUUGUCAGAGGUGAAAUUCUUGGAUUUAUUGAAGACUAACUUCUGCGAAAGCAUUUGCCAAGGAUGUUUUCAUUAAUCAAGAACGAAAGUUAGGGGAUCGAAGACGAUCAGAUACCGUCGUAGUCUUAACCAUAAACUAUGCCGACUAGGGAUCGGACGAUGUUAAUUUUUUAAUGACUCGUUCGGCGCCUUACGGGAAAC